rnacentral:tRNA from 1 species
GGAACCGAGCAGAAGUGGUCUGACCAAACGUUCAAACGCCGAGAGUUUCCUCUCCACGGCGCGAGACAUCGGCAACGCGGGUUCGACUCCCGCCGGUUUCA